AUUGAACGCUGGCGGCAUGCUUUACACAUGCAAGUCGAACGGUAACAGGUUAAGCUGACGAGUGGCGAACGGGUGAGUAAUGUAUCGGAACGUGCCCAGUCGUGGGGGAUAACGUAGCGAAAGCUACGCUAAUACCGCAUACGAUCUCUGGAUGAAAGCGGGGGACCGCAAGGCCUCGCGCGAUUGGAGCGGCCGAUAUCAGAUUAGGUAGUUGGUGGGGUAAAGGCCCACCAAGCCAACGAUCUGUAGCUGGUCUGAGAGGACGACCUGCCACACUGGGACUGAGACACGGCCCAGACUCCUACGGGAGGCAGCAGUAGUGAAUUUUGGACAAUGGGGACAACCCUGAUCCAGCAAUGCCGCGUGCAGGAAGAAGGCCUUCGGGUUGUAAACUGCUUUUGUACGGAACGAAAAGGCUCUGGUUAAUACCUGGGGCUCAUGACGGUACCGUAAGAAUAAGCACCGGCUAACUACGUGCCAGCCGCCGCCGUAA
rnacentral:rRNA from 1 species